GGGCCCGCACAAGCGGUGGAGCAUGUGGUUUAAUUCGAUGCAACGCGAAGAACCUUACCAGGGUUUGACAUAGUACGAAGUUUUUUGAAAAAAACCACCUUCGGGAACGUACAUACAGGUGGUGCAUGGCUGUCGUCAGCUCGUGUCGUGAGAUGUUGGGUUAAGUCCCGCAACGAGCGUAACCCUUGUCUUUAGUUGCCAUCAUUUAGUUGGGCACUUUAAAGAGACUGCCGGUGAUAAACCGGAGGAAGGUGAGGACGACGUCAAGUCAGCAUGCCCCUUACGCCCUGGGCUACACACGUACUACAAUGGCCGAGACAAAGAGUCGCAAGUUUGCAAAGACAAGCUAAUCUCAUAAACUCGGUCUCAGUUCGGAUUGUAGGCUGCAACUCGCCUACAUGAAGUUGGAAUC
rnacentral:rRNA from 1 species